AUGGUAGAGACGCGGCGUACGGCUCAGUAACACGUGGCUAACCUACCCUUAGGACGGGGACAACCCCGGGAAACUGGGGCUAAUACCGAUAGGUGAGGAGGCAUGGAAUGGUUCCUAGUCGAAAAGGCGUUGAAACCAUGCUUUUCGACGUCGCCUAAGGAUGGGGCCGCGCCCGAUCAGGUUGUUGGUGGGGUAACGGCUCACCAAGCCUAUAACCGGUACGGGCCGUGAGAGCGGGAGCCCGGAGAUGGGCACUGAGACAAGGGCCCAGGCCCUACGGGGCGCAGCAGUCGCGAAAACUCCGCAAUGCGCGAAAGCGUGACGGGGCUACCCCGAGUGCCGUCCGCUGAGGAUGGCUUUUCCCCGGUGUAAUGAGCCGGGGGAAUAAGGAGAGGGCAAGUCUGGUGUCAGCCGCCGCGGUAAUACCAGCUCUCCGAGUGGUAGGGAUGAUUAUUGGGCUUAAAGCGUCCGUAGCCGGCUUAGCAAGUCUCCUGUUAAAUUCAGCGACCUAAUCGUUGAGCCGCGGGAGACACUACUAGGCUAGGAGGCGGGAGAGGCCAACGGUAUUCUCGGGGUAGGGGUGAAAUCCUAUAAUCCCGGGAGGACCACCAGUGGCGAAGGCUGUCGGCUAGAACGCGCU
rnacentral:rRNA from 1 species